rnacentral:lncRNA from 1 species
GAGCCAAAGCUGCUAGAACAGCGUUAUAGGUGGAGAGGUCCGGAUUGACCCCUGCAUCUAACAUUCGCCUGUAAACGACCAUAGCUUGAUCAAAAGCCCCACAACGACUGUAAGCACCAAUUAAGGUAUUGAAGGUGUCCCGCUCAGCUACAAAUCCGGCUCUCUUCAUUUCUUCCACAACGACUGUAAGCACCAAUUAAAGUAUUGAAGGUGUCCCGCUCAGCUACAAAUCCGGCUCUCUUCAUUUCUUUGAACACUCCAGUAACUUCUGAAUCCAUUCCGUUCUGCCCAAAUACAGCUAGGAGCGUAUUCCAAGUGACAAUAUCUGGGGAACAACCACUCGUCUUGAUAUCAUCAAAAACCUUCAUCAUUUCAGUAAAUUUUCCCCUGUUUCCAUACAUCUUAAUAAGCGCAUUGAAAGUGCAGAUGUUUGGUUUACAACCUGCACUUGUCAUCUCCUCAAAUAUUCUCAUUGCCGAUUCAUCCUUCCCAGCCUUCUCAAAUCCGGAAAACAAGGUGGUAUACGUAAACACAUCAGGCUUAAUCCCUUUAUCCAUCAUUUGGGCCUUCUCAAAUCCAGAAAACAAGGUGGUAUAUGUGAACACAUCGGGCUUAAUCCCUUUAUCCAUCAUCUGGGCUUUCAGCUCCAUCGCUUCCUCCAACAAACCAUCCCUAGCAUAAGCAGAUACCAACGAAUUAUAUGUCACAAUACUAGGCGAAAACCCGU